AUUGAUAUUAUUUUUUUUUUCAUUGUCGUUGCAUGCAUCACGAACGAUGAAUCCUUGCUUAUAUGUAUAUCUCUUGAGCAGUCUAUAACAAUAAUAACAACAAUCUAGAGCAAAUUCGAAAACAAUCAAAGACUCAUAAACAGCAAUCCUUUAUUCUAGUCUUACCCUCCUCCUCCUAACGACCCACUAAAUCUCAUAUGGAGCAAUCAUCUCCUUCUUUUUCUCUAAGGGCAUUUGAAAUAGUUCUACCACCCAUCAAAAAGUAAAAGUCUUAGAUAAAAAAAAGUUUAUUUGUGAUGAAUGUGGUAGAGGCUUCCCCUUGGGUUGUCUUUUGAAACGCCAUAAAACUGCCUACUCUGGAAUUAAACCCCAUAAGUGUUUCUAUUGUGAUAAAACAUUCACUUCAGGAACUUCACUCAGAAAUCACGAGUUUUCUAUACAUUUGGAUAUCAUCGGCAGAACGCUAAGUUAUCUUUGAAUCAGAGAGUAGCUCAAUCUGUCAGGAUUUAUAAAGCAGAAAAUAGUUUGGAUGCAUCUGAAACAUAAGUUGAAACGAUUUCGAUUUAAAAGCAAGAAAUUACGCAGCCUGUUAAUUGUAGUAUCAAUUCUUUUUAUAUUUCAUAUUAUAGAUAAUACUUUCACCUCUAGUUUUGGAAACGGCACAAACAGAUAAUCCAUAUCUGCACUGUUAUAGAAAUAGCUGACACAUCUUCAGCAUCUGAAGAUUCCGGAAUUACUACGUUAGUAUUCGAUCUUCUACUCCAACGGAAUCUUCAAUUCUUUAUAACGUUGAUUUUUGUCGGAAAAAUGAGUCAAACACUGUAUUUUUGAACCAUGCACUAAUAAAUAAUAUUUCAUAGUUUAAUAUAAAAUAUUUAUUUAAAAAAGAAAUAUUUAUCUCAUUGUAUAGUUAUAUAAAUAUGUUAUGCAUAUAUCAAAAUAAAUUGAUAUGUUAAA
rnacentral:lncRNA from 1 species